rnacentral:lncRNA from 1 species
AUCCUGGGGACGGAUUUGGGGUCAGAAAUGGGGAUUUUGGGGAGAUUUGGGGUUUAGGAUUUGGGAUGUGGGGUCGGGAUUUGGGAUUUGGGGUUCAGGAUUUGGGAUUUAUGGGGUUUGGGGUCAGGAUUUGGGGUUGGAAUUUUAGGAUUUGGGGGAUUUGGGGUCGGGAUUUGGGGUACAGGAUUUGGGAUUUAUGGAGUUUGGGGUCAGGAUUUGGGGUCAGAGUUGGGGAUUUUGGGGAGAUUUGGGGUUCAGGAUUUGGGAUUUGGGGUCGGGAUUUGGGGUUCAGGAUUUGGGAUUUAUGGGGUUUGGGGUCAGGAUUUGGGGUCGGAAUUUUAGGAUUUGGGGGAUUUGGGAUGGUCCAAAGGGAUUUAGGAACACCCAGGAUGGAUUUGGGAUGGUCCAGGAUGAUCCAAGGGGAUUUAGGAACAUCCAGGAUGGUCCAGGAUGGUCCAAGAUGGAUUUGGGAUGGUCCAAGAGGAUUUAGGAUCAUCCAAGGGGAUUUAGGACCACCCAAAUUUGGGCCAAUCUGGAUUUGGGACCACCUGGACCAACCCAGGCCAAUCCAGGCCCACCUGGGCUGACCC